rnacentral:lncRNA from 1 species
CACAGAAAGCCCAAGCUCUUGCACAAGGAUCAGAAGGGGGUAUAACCAGAAUUUGUUUCUCAGCAUCCUGACCAACAAUUAUUUUACCUACUAAACAGGGAAGCCUUUCAAAUAUAAUCCAGGGUAUCCGCUUCAUUUUACAACUAAAGAAAUGAAGGCUGGUUUCUGCUGGUCUAGACAUCUGGGUUCCAAAAGAAGAAUGCAUCUCCCAGGAGACAUGACAAUGAUUCCAUUCAACAGGAAGUUGAGACUGCCACCUGAACACUUUGGGCUCCUCAUGCCUCUGAAUCAACGGGCAAAGAAGAGAGUUAUAGAUCCUAACCACCCAGGAGAAAUUCGGUGGCCACUACACAAACAGAGUAAGAGGAGCAUUUCUAUGAUGCGGGAGAUCCUCUAGAAUGUUUGUUGGUAUUCCCAGGUCCUGUGAUUAAAGUAUGUGGAAAACUAUAGCAGCCCAAUUCAGGAUGUUUCCAGAUACUUCACUUUUCUGACUCUGCGGCCAGGUGUUUGUAUUUAACUCCACGGUGAGGAGACUCAUCUUCUGACGGACCUAACCUAUACCAUCAAGGUCAGAGGCAACAAGAAAUGGCAUGCAUUUCAGUUUAUUGUUCUGUGGCUCCAGCUUGUAUAUUUUAACUCUAGAUUUUUUUUUACUUUCC